AGCCUCAAUCUACGUGCACCUGGGCCUCACUGCUCCUGACAUCCAGAGAAGGUGAAUGUGACCACACUUACCCACAGGUCAUGCUUCCAUCUUAAUAGGCUUAUUGCCAUGGAGAUAAUAAGAUCUGUAACAUGA
ensembl:snoRNA